GGGAAAGACGAUCAAGCCCCUUUGACUUGAAUAUACACAAGCAGGUCAACGCAGAGAAGUAUUAAUUCAGUAAACCAGCAUAAUCGGAGAAAAGGGUAAAAGAAAAAGAAAAACAAAGGGUGCCCCCAAAUUUGAUGGCUCACAUGAAGAAGUCUCACAUAUGGGUUCAUGGCCCAUUUAAAGCCGACGACAAUGUCUUAUCCUUCAUUAUUACUAGACUAGGAACCUGGACUCUGUCUGU